UACAGUGCUCAUCUACCAUGCACAAGGCCCUGGGAUCAAUCUCCAGUACAGAGAGAGAGACAGCUUGAUAGAUGUAUAUAUGUAUAUAAUGCAUGUCUUAUGAAGCCUAAAUUUAUUUAAUCUAUUUCAUUCCCCUUCAAGAUUGAGACAAGAUUUGUAGGAACAUUUACAGCAUCCUGUUUCAGAUCCCUGGAUGAUACAUGGAAGUCUGCAGUCACUACCCUACACCUUCUUGGAACAGCGCAGCCUUGCAGGAGCAUAACACAUGAUGAGACUGUCCCGGGACCCAAACAAGGAGCAAGUGACUCAUGAGAACCGGAUUUCCUCUUUCCAGGAUCACAGGUCUGAUAGAUAAACAUCCUGAGCAUCAAAUGAAGAUUGCCCCCUCCACUGAUAAAGACUUUUCUGGAGCCAUCUGGCAGAACCAGAACUGAGAUAAUGAUCAACCAGACCACAGUUUGACCAAGAUGACUUAAUUAUGCAUACUUCUUAUCCCCUGCCCUAAUUCUUCCUCAUUUUAAGCCUGCAGCUCAUGUCAACACUCCAAACACAGGGCUGAGAUGCUUGAUCUCACUUUGCCUUGCCAAUAUAGCCAUAUUGAUUAAGGUUCCUCUCCUGAUUUUCACCAUGAACUUUUUCUGUUUGGUGUUUGGGGCCAUUACCUGACCUGAUUUUUUUUUUUUUUAAACCAGAGAUUGAAGCCAGGGGCACCUAACCACUGAGCCCUUUUUUUUAAUAUUUUAAUUAAUUAGAGACAGGGUCUUGCUAAGUUGCUUAGAGCCUUGCUAAAUUGCUGAGACUAGCUUAGAACCCACAAUUCCCUUGCCUCGGCCUCCCAAGCUGCUGGGAUUACCGGUGUGCACCACAGCACCUGUCUCUGAAUCUACUCUAUCAGAACCUCUGGUCUAGGACUUCAUUGUAGUCAUCAAUUUCAUCUCCAGUAACAGGAACAUAACUGUGUGAAAAGGGAUGGAAUUAAAGCAGUAGAGGAGAGGAGCAUUUUCAAAAGAAAGAAAGCACUGCUGCUACACAGCCCCACCACCACCCUGCAAUAGAGGGCCAGGAUGCUAGACUUGCUUCUUGGAGGGCAUUCUUUAUCAUAUCCAUUCCCUUAUUCAUUAAAUAUACACCAUGUGCCUAGUCUGAAUCUGCCCAUCCUGGGUGCUAGAGGCACUGAGCUUAACAGAGAAAGUCCCUGUUCUCAUCUAGUUCAUGUUCUAGCCUGGGGAGCCGGUGAGGAAACAGACAGAACACAAAGAAAAAACAAGAUCAUUUCAGGCAGAUAAGUGUUUAAGAAAAAAUAAUAACACUGGAUGAUGUAAGAGAAAAGAACUGGAUGGGGCUACUUUAAAUUCAGCAAGUCAGGUGAGACCUCAGGAGGAGGUGACAUUUGAGCUGAGAACUGGGAGUUAUAAACUGGGGCAGAGUAUUCCAGGCUUAGGCACCGCCAGAGACAGAGGCAGGGAUGGUCACUCAGGGCUCUAUACUCAGAAUGGUCCCAUACUCCGAAGGAUCUCUUGCUUGGUUUAAUACUCUGCUGUUGCUUCCUGGAAAUUAUUAUUUUUUUAAUCUUUAUUUUUAUUUAUUUAUUUUUAUGUGGUCCUGAGGAUCGAACCCAGGGUCUCAUGCAUGAGAAGCAAGUGCUCUACCAUGAGCCACGACCCCAGCCCCUGGAAAUUCUUAAUUAUUUUUUUAAACAAAGGGCCCACAUUUUCAUCAUUUACUAGGUGCCAGUCCUGGUUAGAGGCACUGAAAGAAGUGGGGGAAGCAGAUCCCCCAACUGCUGGGGAUUGAACCCUGAGGUACUCUUCCACUGAGCCAUAUCCCCAACAUCUCUCCCCCACACUUUUAUAAUUAUUUUGAGACAGGCUUGCUAAGUUACUUAAGGCCUCACUAAGUAGCUAAGGCUGACCUUGAACUUUUGAUCCUCCUGUCUCUAUCUCCCCAGUCACUAGAAUGACAGCCAAAUACCACCAGCCCACCUGGGACCAUAUUGAAGUUCCUGUAAAGAGUUGGAGCAUACUCUAUGCCUGAGGGACAUUUUUGACAGAUUUAGAGAAAAGAAGCAGUGUGAUCCUAUUUAUAUUUCAAGAGCUCCAUUAAUACCUCUGUGUCCAGUAAGGAUUAUGAGGGAUCAAGGCCAUGUUAUGUAAGCUAUCACAUAUGUUGGCAUAAAAUUGUAAUAUUACCUUAAUAUAUUUUUAGCAUCUGUAGGGUUAUUUUGAUAGCUCCCUUUCCACUGAUAUUAAUUUUCAUAUUCUUGCUUUUUUCUUGAUUAGACUUGUUUAUUUUUUAUCAAAUUUUAGCUGUAUUAGUUCUUCUCUAUUUCAUAUAUUUCUGUCCCUGCUCUUAUUUUUUCUUCCUACUAUAUAACUUGAAAAUAAUUUGAUUGUUAUUCUAGCUUCUUUCUGAUACAAGUACUUUAAGUCAUAAAUGUUCAUCUGAGUACUGUUUCAUCCUACAGAAGCUUUUAUUACUCAGUUCAAAGCACUUUUUAUUUACUUUUCUUGUGCUUUCUUCUGAGAUACUUGUAAGUGUGCCAUUUAAUUUUGAAAUAGUUGACAUGUGGGGGUGGGUUUCUAUUUAGCUUAAGGUAAUUGAUUUCUAAUGUAAUAAAACAUGCAGGAAACGCAGUCUGCAUGAUUUCAAAUUUUAAAAAAGUAAUGGAAAUGCUUUUUAUAUUGAUUGCAUUGGUUACAUAUAUGUCAAAACAGAUCAAAUUGCAUACUUCAAAUAUGUGCAUUUUGUUGUACUUCAAUUUUACCUCAAUAAAGCUACAGCAAAAAAAAAAAUGGAAAUAAGGGAAGAUCAUACAAGAAAAGCAGUAAUGAGAUGAUACACAGUGAUGCCUUGGACUAAUGUGGUGGCAAUAGAAAUAGAAAGCAACAUUUUUGGUUUUUGUUUUAUUUUCAGUCCUGGGGAGUGUGUGCUAGCCAAGCACUCUGUCACUGAGCUGUAUCCCCUACGUAUAAUAAAUAAUGUAUAUUUUGAAGAUGACUUGGCAGGAAGAUAAUGGAUUAGAUGUUGGGAAUGAGAGAAAGGAUGAAAAGGAAUGAAAAAUGGCUUCCAGGGGCUGGGGAUGUGGCUCAAGUGGUAGCACGCUCGCCAGGCAUGAGUGCGGCCCGGGUUCCAUCCUCAGCACCACAUACAAAGAUGUUGUGUCC
rnacentral:lncRNA from 1 species